GAAAAGAAAGACGGAGGUGUACAUAUCGGUUUAUUUCAGGAACUUUUUGCUCCACGUGCACAACAUGUCAUUUAGACAUUUGCAACAAGAAACCGCGCCAAAAGGACUCCGCGGCGCGCAUGUCCGAGUGAGGCCGACAAACCUGUGCAACACCGACCUCCAGAUGGCGCCACGACACUAAAACUUUUCCUGCAACUGGACACCAUCUGCGGAAGGAUGAGUGAGAGGAAGUCCUUAAGGAACUAAACUACCACUCCCACACCGCAUCACUUCCCACACCACAGAGAGAUGCCCUCUGAUCCAAACAACAGCUCCCACAAUGCAUCAGUGCCUGACGUGCGUCACAUCCCCCUCUAUGUGGUUUCCGAACUAGAGAUGUUCUCUACAAUUGUGAGUCACGCUUACACACCUACGUGCGCACGCAUUAAUCAGGAUGAAGAUCGGUGUCAAUGUGCCAUGCGCAAAAAAACAAAGCACACAGCACAUCCCCAGAUCAACCUGAAUGCAACAUUUAAUGUUAGAUUAAAGCAGUCGGACUCAUUAAAAAGAGGAACUUGCUGUUGUGUUAUCAGCAAGAUAACUGGGUGGAUAAAAAUUAGAAAAAAAUUAAUUAAUUAACAAAUGCUGACAAACAACCACAGAUACAUAUCUUGUAAGUUCAAGUAAUAAACAACAUGCAAAAAAAUAGAAGGCGAAGAUAAAAACUAUUACAUGUUCUCUAUUGUUUAAAAUAACUGUUUUCUGUUUGAAUAUUUUAAAAUGUAAUUUUUCCUGUAACAAGUUUUUAGUAUCAUUACUCCAAUCAGUGUCUCUUCAGAAAUCAUUCAGAUUCUGAUUUGGUGCU